ensembl:snRNA U1 U1 spliceosomal RNA
UUACUUACCCGGCCAGAGAGAUACCAUGAUCAGGCAGGUGGCUUUCCCAGGAAAAGGCUCAUCCCCUGCACUCCGGGUGGGCUGUCCCUGAGACUUCCCCAAAUGUGGGAAACUCGAAUGCAUGAUUUGUGGUAGCGUGAGACUCCAUUUGCACUCUUUUU